CAGUAGCCGCGGUAAUACAGAGGGUGCUAGCGUUAAUCGGAUUUACUGGGCGUAAAGCGUGCGUAGGCGGCUUCUUAAGUCGGAUGUGAAAUCCCUGAGCUUAACUUAGGAAUUGCAUUCGAUACUGGGAAGCUAGAGUAUGGGAGAGGAUGGUAGAAUUCCAGGUGUAGCGGUGAAAUGCGUAGAGAUCUGGAGGAAUACCGAUGGCGAAGGCAGCCAUCUGGCCUAAUACUGACGCUGAGGUACGAAAGCAUGGGGAGCAAACAGGAUUAGAUACCCCAGUAGUCCCUGUCUCUUAUAC
rnacentral:rRNA from 1 species